rnacentral:rRNA from 1 species
CCCUUAGAUGUCCGGGGCCGCACGCGCGCUACACUGAUGCAUUCAACGAGUCUAAAACCUGCUCUGAUAGGGGUGGGUAAUCUUUUGAAUGUGCAUCGUGAUUGGGAUAGAUGAUUGCAAUUUUUCAUCUUCAACGAGGAAUGCCUAGUAAACGCAAGUCAUCAGCUUGCAUUGAUUACGUCCCUGCCCUUUGUACACACCGCCCGUCGCUCCUACCGAUUGAAUGAUCCGAUGAAUAUCAUGGAUUGAGGAUGCAAGUAGGUUCGCCUAUCUUCAUCUUCGAGAAGUGAAGUAAAUCUUAUCAUUUAGAGGAAGGAGAAGUCGUAACA